CCCAUCCCACACACACUCGCACACCCUCCACGAUAUUGCCGCUAUAGGCCAGCGAUUCUGCAGCAGCCCCGUCGGCGUCGUCGGCGUCUCCACCGAAUCAGCGGCCAUCCAGUGGCCCGUCUGAGUGGUUCGGGCCAUGAUGAAUUGUCCGGGUCCAGUUGCCCGGAGACCAUCGACCCUGUGUCUGUCCAGUGCUUGGCCCCCGCCUUGGACGUUUUAAGCAAUUGAUUCGAAUUGAUUGCCCAAUCAGUGGAAACUUGUGCACUUACUGCCCCAAUCUUUGAUGCCCAUGUUCAGGACCUAUGCCAACUGGAAAACGCAGAAUGACGUACGAGUUUAAGGGACCUACGACAAUUCGUUGCUCUCGAAAUACACAUUCGAUUUCUGGGUAUUGGGAGUUCGAUUCCAUGAGUGGUUCCACGAUUCCCAUGGAAAUGUUUACAAAAAAACACUCGAAUUGGGGUCAGAAAAGUAUUGUUACAAUUUCAAAACACUACUUUCUAUGUUUGGAUCUUGAAAAGGGCGCACCUACGUUAUGGUAUAUGGCCAAGACCUCAACACCCGAUAAACAAUUUAAGAUUUUGUCAUAUUACUCACUGACUGUUUGAAGGAGGAAAAUAUAACAUAUUAUACAACAAUUCAAUAAAAAUUAACGACUUGAAAGAAAAUUUCCGCUGCGCCCACAAACAAAAGUUAAGAACAAAAACAAUAAUAAACAAAAAGAAAUAAAAUUAUAUACACAUAUACUUAUAUAUUAAGUGUACACAAAAAGAAUAAAUUUAAUGAACAAAUAUUAAGCUUUUUUUUUUAUAGAUUCUCCGACUACGUGAAAGAACAUUUCUGAUAGAAGCGUUUAUUUUUUAUUAUUUUUAUUUAUAAACGCGUUUAGAUUUGUUUGAGUUGAUCUCCCUAUCUUUCGGAUCCACGGAGUAUAUUUAUAGAAAAAGAGGCGUGGGUCUGGUCCCGUCCCCUUCCAAUCCCUCUUGGCCUAUGGUAUAUUCAUAUACGGCAGCACUCUUGAAGAAAAGCCACCAGCCGGAGCCCGGGGCUCUUGGAAAAUUGCGCACAUGACUAGCACGAGCCGGCAGGUGGCCAGAAUGAAAGGGUUUCAAAAGUGCCUCUAAGGAUCAAGGAUGAAGGAUGACGAAGGCGAAAUGCCCAAGAAGCGACCUUCGUCCUGAGGACCACUUGACGGCCUCUUCGGGCCGGGCUAAUGAGAGGUCUCGGCCGAGAGGUGUUUAGGCCACUACCCGAGUAGGUGCUUUUGAAAAGGUGUACAGUGAGCGGCAACGGUUGACGCCCACGCCACGAUUUCCAUAAUUUAUUUUAAUAGUUCCGCUUUUACAGCACAUACUAUUCAAUUGGCUCGCCUAUAUUUUAAAUAAUAU